GCGGGUAUGGUGAAAUAGGUAUACACGCUAGAUUUAGGAUCUAGUAUCUUUACGGAUAUGGGGGUUCAAGUCCCUUUACCCGCACAA
rnacentral:tRNA from 2 species